CCACAACCGGGAGCACAGCUAAAGUAUAACAUGUAAGUGAUUACGCAGAUUACGCUUAGUCCUAUGCGUAAAACACAUCGUAUUGGCUCUUUGACGCCUUUUAUUUGUUAAAUCCAUAUUUAUUAUUGUUUACCGUUUUCCUCCAUAUAUGUUAGAGCACACAAACAUACACGAAAUGUUGUGGAGAGAGGAAUUGGGCAGAUGAAACGUCGGUUUCAUGUACUCCACGGCGAAAUACGCCUCACCCCAGAGAGGGCAAGCACAGUCAUCACUGUAUGUGCCAUUCUACACAACCUCUGCAAGCGGAGGAACAUUCCACAGCCAGACGAUGAUGACGAUGAAGAGGACGAUGACCCCGAUGAUGAUGAUGAUGGCGCUCGACAAUAUGACAAUGAAUUUGGCCGUGUGGAACCGAGUGGACUGGCAUUUAGGGAUCACUUUGUGAAUACACAUUUUAGUGAACUGGUACCAGCAGCAGGAGGGAGAGGAGAGCCAGUGGGUGCACCAAGAGGGAGAGUUGGAAGAGAAAGGGGUGGAAGAGGAAGAGCUGUGUGAUGUGAUGCUGCAGCUGGACUUUCAUCUUCAUUUCUCCUGUGGGGAAUAUAUAUAUAUUUAAUUUGUAACACAUUUUUGGGAAGUGGGUUGACCAGUUGCACGUUGUAAUUCUUCUGUAAAUAUUAAACAGAAAGGUUUUUCAUGAA